GCUCAAGACGGCGCUGCUGGCGGUGUUGUUGCGUGAGGGGGCUCCGGGUCAAGGCUGGGACGAGGCACACCUGUGCGAGCGGUUGGGAGAAUUAGUACAGUUCCUCCGGGACUGCCUGCUGCGGCGCCACACGCUCUUCCACUGCGUCCUGGGCCCUGGAGGGGCAGCUGCCGAGGUCGGCCCGCUGCCCAAGGUGCUGCGGGAAGCUGCCCCAGUCGACCUCCUGGCAGCGUUCGACAGGCACGCCCGGGAACUUGCGGCGGCGCGAUUGCUGUCCACAUGGCGAAGGCUGCCCCAGCUUCUCCGGGUCUACGGGGGUCCUCGCUACCUGGACAUGUGCCCUCAACCCAGGAGUCAGCGCACGCAGGGGUUCCCUGAAGAUCAGCCCUAAACCUGGACAGUGCGCCGCCAGGCCUAAUGCUCCUAUAGCCUCUCCCACCCCGUAGGGUGGGGAGGGCGAUGAAGCCAGUUUAAUGCAAGGAAAUGAGGUGCCAAGGGUGUUGGAAAAUUCGGAGGGUGACAUUUGGGGGCUUAAAUGUCACCCCGGGCUCUGCAAUCCAGUCUAGUUAUGGUGUCUUCUUCACACCCACCAGCGUGUCCUGAGCAAGCUACAGAAAGACCUCAAACACCAGCAGGGAAGAGUUGGUUCAAAAUGUUGGUUUGUGUGGAAUGAUUCCGUAGAAGGAUCCAGCUUCUAGGGAAGCCCAAUAAAGGAAGCAAGAACUAGCUACAGAGAAAGUUCCUUUGUCAGGUUUCGAGACCCAGAUCUCUGCCGCCCUUCCUCCCCUCACUGAAAGAAGCUAAUGGGUUUUUUUGUUGUUGUUGUUCUAACUGCCUGCUAUAUUUUGGGUUCCUGAUUGUCUUUUAAAAAAUCUGAAUCUUUGUCUACAACUGGAAUUUAAGUUCUAUUCUAGGGGCUCAUAUUGUGAGGAACAGUUUCCACUAUUCACAUUGAUAUUAAUGUGUUUCUUAAAUGGUGCAAUCAGGGCUGCUUGACAGGAUUGCAAAGAAUUAAGUCACAGGUGUUGAGAGGCAGUGAAGAGUUGGUUAGAGAAACUUCCAGAGCAGAUAGCACUUUAUUUUGAUCAGUCCUUUCAUUUUGUGGUAAUUGCCAGGGCCAAGUGUUGCAUCCCAAAGGGAGACCAGUUACUUUUGUUAUUAAGAAAUGUGCAGUCUUAAAAAGCAGGCUUGCUUAACCUGCCUGCAGGCACACACUGGGAUAUGUACCAGUCAACACCCAUUCGUAGCAGAAGAGCCCACGGGGAGCCAGGUAGGGUGCAAAGUAGCAAAAGAGAACAUGUUUAGAGGACAACACUGGCCAGGACUCAAAACAUGUUGGGUUUUGAGAAAGAUGCAUAUCAGUGUUUGCCUAUCAAGGUGACUCAUCAGAGCUUGCUGCUGGCUGGAGACAGAUACGGUGUUGUUUGAAGCCUUUUGAACAAACUCUUCUGCAUGGAAAUUUCUGCGCUUCAUGAGAUAAUGAGGAAAUGCCUGCUGUAGUGCCUAGCAUGGAGUUAGCUCUCUCGGCCACUGCUCAGUGAUGGUGAGUGGUUACCACGUUUCUCUCCCAUUGCCAUUGGCAGCCUGUAAGCGAUCCUAAGGCCAGCUCGGAGGAGCGAUUGAUUCAGCCCAGGUCUUGUAAGGCAUUUCCCAUAGAACUCAGGAUCUUGGGCUCCAUGCUCUCUGACCAUCCGGUCAGCAGUCAGUCAAGGAGAGCGAGUGAGGGGGAGGAGGGGGGCGGUGACAGCUCUUGCCAGCAGUGUGCUGGUUUUUUCUCUUUGGACAUACAUAUCCCCAACUCAGCUUAGGUUUAGGAGUAGUCCAUCAUCUGCUUGCCUAAUAGAAAAUGCAACCACUCCCACCCAGUGUUAGACUUUGAGACUUUAAAAAAAUCUUUUUUGGCAAAGGCAUGUAUUUCCUUAGACUCUUAAAGGUAAAACUUGGAAGACAGAAGUAGCCACCUGGAUAGGGCCAUGGUUUAACUUCUGAGUUAUUUUGAGGGAAUUCUUUAAACUUUCUUUCGGGGAUCUAUCUGGUCACUGCAGGAAACCAUUGGGAAUAAAUGAUUUGCAGGGAAUCCUUACGAGGGCUGCAGAGACUUCUUACAUCCUUUGCAACCUUGGACUGUAAGAGAAACCGUUGCAAAUGUCAUGCCUUCUCUUUGAGGUUGUUCUGAGGACAGUUCCUCUUGAUAUCAUAAAGGUCAUUCCCAGCCUUUAAGGUCAGUGGUAGGUCAUAAGGUACAGAGUUCAAGCAAAGGGAUCGGUCUACCAGCUUCUGCAAAGAUAUAAACUGCAUGGUGUUUCUUAAAAUUACUUUUUAAAACAGAUGAGAAGAGUAAGUAGAUCUUUAUAUACAUAUAUAUACAUAUAUAAAUAUAUAUUUAUAAUGUUUCCAUAUCAGCCACAGUUCCCCCUGUAGUCAUUAAGUCUACUGAAGUGGGAGCAGCAAGGCUAUUGGAGGAAUUAUAAAGCUUUAAAAGCUGAACUUUCCAAAUGUCUCCAGCUCAGCUGAUAGGUUCCUUUUUUUUUUUUUUUUUUUUAAUCUUACUCAUCUUUUGAAGUUUAAAUCUGGUAACAUUCUGUUCUUGUAGUGGUUUCGUUAUGUUUUUUCAGGUUAAUUACCCAAAGCCUCAUCCAUCCUCAAGAAUUUAAAAUUUUAUUAUUAUGUUUUAAUUAGUGGGGCAUUGUGUUUGUGAAUUUUUUAAAUAUUAAUGUCUUAUUUAAGGGCCAUGCUGAGCGAUUGUUCUCUGUACAUGGCAACCAAAACUCAGAGAUUUCGAUCAAUUUUGAUCAAUGUUUAGCGAUCCCAAACAUGUACUGUGUACAAAUGAAAUAAUAAGGCGUAUUAGCCAGGUGUGAUGGCUGCCCCGAGGCACUUAAACUAAGCUAAAUUCUGUAUUUUAUCAGGGCUCCAUCACAUCCUUGAUCUGAAAUGUACACAUUUUUGGUGUAUACUUGGUACUAGAGAUUCAUGUAUGCAAAUAUUCUUAUUCAAGAAACUGCAAAAUUGCUUGUUAAAAAAAAAAAAAAAAA
rnacentral:lncRNA from 1 species